AACGAACGCUGGCGGCGUGCCUAACACAUGCAAGUCGAACGUGAUUAGAGAGCUUGCUCCUUAUUUUAGUGGCGCACGGGUGAGUAACGCGUGGAUACUCUGCCUGAUGCUCUGGGAUAACAUCUCGAAAGGGGUGCUACUACCGGAUAAGCCCACGGGGUCUUAGGAUCUGGCGGGAAAAGGAGGGGACCUUCGGGCCUUCCGACAUCAGAUGAGUCCGCGUCCCAUUAGCUAGUUGGUGGGGUAAAGGCCUACCAAGGCGACGAUGGGUAGCUGGUCUGAGAGGAUGAUCAGCCACACUGGAACUGAGACACGGUCCAGACUCCUACGGGAGGCAGCAGUGGGGAAUUUUGCGCAAUGGGGGAAACCCUGACGCAGCAACGCCGCGUGAGUGAUGAAGGCCUUUGGGUCGUAAAGCUCUGUCAGAGGGAAAGAAAUGUGGGCGGCUAAUAUCCGUUCCACUUGACGGUACCCUCAAAGGAAGCACCGGCUAACUCCGUGCCAGCCGCCGCGGUAAGAC
rnacentral:rRNA from 1 species